rnacentral:rRNA from 1 species
AGUGAACGCUGGCGGUAGGCCUAACACAUGCAAGUCGAACGGCAGCACAGUAAGAGCUUGCUCUUACGGGUGGCGAGUGGCAGACGGGUGAGGAAUACAUCGGAAUCUACUUUUUCGUGGGGGAUAACGUAGGGAAACUUACGCUAAUACCGCAUACGACCUACGGGUGAAAGCAGGGGAUCUUCGGACCUUGUGCGAUUGAAUGAGCCGAUGUCGGAUUAGCUCGUUGGCGGGGUAAAGGCCCACCAAGGCGACGAUCCGUAGCUGGUCUGAGAGGAUGAUGAGCCACACUGGAACGGAGACACGGUCCAGACUCCUACGGGAGGCAGCAGUGGGGAAUAUUGGACAAUGGGCGCAAGCCUGAUCCAGCCAUACCGCGGGGGUGAAGAAGGCCUUCGUGUUGUAAAGCCCUUUUGUUGGGAAAGAAAAGCAGCAGGUUAAUACCCCGCUGUUCUGACGGUACCCAAAGAAUAAGCACCGGCUAACUUCGUG